GACGAACGCUGGCGGCGUGCUUAACACAUGCAAGUCGAACGGAAAGGCCCUGCUUUUGUGGGGUGCUCGAGUGGCGAACGGGUGAGUAACACGUGAGUAACCUGCCCUUGACUUUGGGAUAACUUCAGGAAACUGGGGCUAAUACCGGAUAGGAGCUCCUGCUGCAUGGUGGGGGUUGGAAAGUUUCGGCGGUUGGGGAUGGACUCGCGGCUUAUCAGCUUGUUGGUGGGGUAGUGGCUUACCAAGGCUUUGACGGGUAGCCGGCCUGAGAGGGUGACCGGCCACAUUGGGACUGAGAGACGGCCCAGACUGCUACGGGAGGCAGCAGUGGGGAAUAUUGCACAAUGGGCGGAAGCCUGAGGCAGCAACGCCGCGUGCGGGAUGACGGCCUUCGGGUUGUAAACCGCUUUCGCCUGUGACGAAGCGUGAGUGACGGUAAUGGGUAAAGAAGCACCGGCUAACUACGUG
rnacentral:rRNA from 1 species